CCGUCAGUCCUCUAUAUCCCUGUCCCGGAUUUUCCUUCCUUUCGUGCUCUCCGACUGAUCUUACAAUUGAAUGUUUUCCAGAAGAAGCAGCUGAAGCGAUUGGGAAUUCAACCUUCUUCUGCUCCGUUGCUAAGAACACCGUGAACACCGUUACUUCCACGGGUGGCGGAUUUUUCAAUGAUGAGCAGCAGCAACAUUUCUCGGGAUUCCCUGUGGUCGGAUACUUCCACAAGUUUCAAGCUCGAGGAGGCUGCCAGUACACCUACAGCAACUCCACCAAUUUGGCUCUUCCGGAGUCUGAGAGGCUCGUCUGCGGCUGGGACUUCCGUGCUUAUGGCCAAUUCUGGUUCCACGUCUCUAUAGCUAUCUCCAUCAGCGAUGUUGGCAACUUUAUCCGAGACGUGAAGCAGUUGAGAGACUUGUCGCCAGAACGUCUCUGUCUGCUUGACACUUCCAUGACAUUAUUCAUUAGAUACUUGAAAGCUUCUCAGGCUUACCUUGGACCGAAGACUGACGCAGCAGAGAUUGAGUUCAUGACGUUCCGAGACAGGAGGCCAGGGGAACCACAGACGUACGAGGACGUUGCUGAGGAGAUAGAGCAGCUUUUACUGUUUAAGUAUAACGGGAAGCCACACUUCGGGAAGAACAGGCCGCAUGCAUUCCGGGACAUUGGAAGGAAGACGAAGAAUUUGUCUAAGUUUCUUUCGGCUAGGAGGAAGUUGGAUCCACAAGGAUGGUUUUCAAGUGAUUGGUCUGACUCAGUGCUGGGAAUCCGAGGAAGUCCGGUGACAGCAAAGGAUGGAUGUGCUUUGGAAGGACUGUGUGUUUGCAGCGAAGCCAGGCACUGUGCUCCAGACAAAGGAUAUUUUUGCAGACCAGGACUUGUUUAUCGCGAGGCAAGAGUCUGUAGCAAUAGAAGUUAAGAUGCAUCAUUUCUCCUUGUUUGUUGUUCAGGUCUGAGAUGUGCUCAGUAAUUGUUUUAGUGUAAGGAAUAUACUUAAAAUAUCAGAUUAUAUUUUUUAAAGAAUCAAGAAGGUCAACAAGUUAAAAAGUCAAAAAAAUUAUUCCAGACAGUUCCUCUUCUUCGUUGAGCCUGCCCUCUGCAAUACGUCUCUAACUAUAGAAGUCGUCCAUCUCUGGCAUCCCCUUCAAGAAAAAAAUCUCUGGCCUUGAUCAUCCUCCUGUUCUUGAGCUAGGCUGUCGUCCUCUCACAUUGAGGAUCUCCCUUGCAGCAGCCAAAUACUCCAGCUUGGGCGAUCAUUGUUGCCCGUGACACAAUGUCUCUCUUGGGCCCAAUCUAGCUCUUGUUCGUCCUAUAACCUUGUUAACCGCUUUGAGGAAUUCUUAACAGUUUAUCCAGAUAAAUAUUUUAAAUUUAUAUCUAUCAAUAAGCUACCUAGAGUUUUUCUUUGCUGUAGAUUGAAAGGAGGUAGCAGGUCAGCAUCAAUGAGGGUAAGUCAAGAAGAAGGUGGAGUUGAACCCACAAUCAACUUAUAUGUGGAUUUAAACAGUUUUAAAUAGAUAUGAUAUAGCUUCAGCUCAAGCCAAUCAAGUAUCUCACUUAGAUCAAACAAAAACUGCGAGCGAGCAUUCUCCCAGACUCCCUGAAUAUCUGGGGUUUGUACAACUUAAGGGUUUAUUUAGAAUAUUCAUUAAUUUGUUGAGGAAAAUUUUUAAAAAAUGUACCAAAUUAUGAAAAGAGGAAUAAAAGGAAAUAACUAAAAAUAUUAUCCUAAUUUUUUAUUUUUUUUGGAAACCCUAAAAAACACAUAAUUUAGUGCCCUAAUGACCGAUUUUUAAAGUGUUUUUAGAGUGGGAUAAAAGAACCUUUAAAUUGCACACCCAUCAAAACUUUAAUGACCUGUAGAACUAUGGAGUUUUAUCUCCAAUGCUUGAUAGGUUGUCUUAGCUGGGCAGGAGAUGAUGUUCCUCUUCUUUGUUUGCACUAGAGAAAUUUGAGAUUUCACUCAUUGUGAAUCAUUAAUAUGAUAUAAUUAUAUGAAAUCUUUAUUGGCAAUCUCAACUUAUGUGGCAAAGCGAUAUGUGCCAAAUAAUGGUAUUUUUGAAGCCCUACAGUGAGGCCAGUUACUUGAAAUUACUACGCUGAUAGGCACUAGCAUUUCUAGGAGAAUACUAAUUCAGUAAUUAACAAUCUCUUUUGAUUUUUCAAGAUUUUACAAGAGUUUCAUUUGAAUUUCAUUAACUAUGAAAUUCAAUUUUUCUCUACUGUGGAGUUUGAUCAAGGUUUACUUGACUCAAAUCUUUCUUUCUCCUUGACUGCAUUGCUUUACUUGCGGGAAGUGACAGGAUGGAAUUUUACAAGCAUUUUGAAGGAUUGGUGCUCCCAGUGAUAGAUAGGCCGCAAAGACAAAUGGCCUUCAUUGACUGAUUCUUGCUUUCAUACCACCAAGUAACAUAGGGUUUGUCAACCCACCAAUAUACUAAUUAUUAAAUCAUUUUAUUGACGAUAAGUCUUUGAGAGCUUUCACCACCAAGUACUCGAGAUCAUGAAGUUCGUCCUCCUCGCCCUCCUCUUUUCUCUCAACUUGCAUCUUGUAAGAUCUCUAGUAGAAUGCGAUGCGAGUGGCUGCGAGCUCAAGAACUAUCUCAGAGGUCCAUGGCCAGAUCGCAGGCCUUGCAAGAUCACCAAGGCGUUCUUCCCGACCAACGAGGCCGAGCUCCUCGACGCCGUGGCCUACGCAGUCAAGAGCAAGCAGAAGAUCAAAGUGGUAAGCAGGGAGGCACAUACCAUGACCAAAUUCGCGUGUCCAAACUCCGGAUCCGACACAGGGGGGGUUGUCAUCAGCACCGCUAGCUUCAACUCCAACUCGAGCGUCGUUGUCGACAAGAGCUCUAUGACGGUCUCCACACCCCCUGGAAUCAUGCUUGGCGAGCUUAUCGAUCUCCUGGCGAUGCAAGGCGUGACUUUGCACCAGACCAUCGCCUGGGACGGCGUGUCGCCGGCGGGCAUGGUGAGCGCGGGGGCCCAUGGCAGCAGCCUUUGGGGUCGCGGCGGAGGAACUUACGAGUACCUCGUGUCCAUGAGAAUCGUCGUUCCGGCCUCCAAGAACGAAGGCUUUGCUAAAGUUGUCACGGUCGCGGAGGGGAGUGAUCUGUUCCACGACGCCAGGAUCUCGCUGGGAGUUCUUGGAGCUGUUUCCCAGCUGACGUUCUCCGUACAGCCCAUGACGAAGAGGUCUGUGACGCUGUCGGUGGCGGACGAUGCGUCUCUGGAAGAGGACUUCUUGACACUGGCUCGGGAGCGCGAGUUUGCGGAAGUGUCGUGGUACAGCUCGCAGAAGAAAUUUGGGAAGAAAUGCACAAUACAGCACGCUCACUCCUUGCUUCCUCCGUGGCGCUUAGUCACGCCCAGCUCUGCACCCUAAAUGUUUAACGCUAAAUUUUAAUUAGUAGAUGCUGUUAACGGAUAUGUUAAGGACUAUAAUUUUAUAAUUAGCCAGUGAAUGAACGGCUAUAAUUUAUAAGUAUAUAACCUACGAUUGGUUUAGGUUUUUCCUCAUUGUGUUUUAUGUUUGUGCUCCUUAUAUUUUCUUUCUUAUUUUAUUCAUUCUCUUUAGUAUUAUGGUUAGACUAAUUGCUUUGCUUAUUUUAUUCAUUCUCUUUAGUAUUGGAAUAUUCUUUUAGUUUUUGUAUUACUGUUGGUCUUCUUCCACAAGAGAGAGAAAGGAAGCUACAUUUAAUAUUCUAUGUAGUCAUAUUAAGCUAUACAAUCAAGAUAAUGCUGUUAUAGUAGAAUAAAUAAUAUAUUUGAUUUUGUACUUUUAAAUACUUAAAAAUAGUUGAAAAUAAUAUACAGUAAUGAGGUGGCAUGUGCAUGUAAGCAAUGAGGUGGCAUGCAAAUCCAAAUAAGCAAACGGGGCCCACCCUAAAUAAAGGGGGGUCAUUCUACCCGAAAUUUGUGUCGAGGAUCGAUGACAAAGCGCCACUCUCGGUGCCAGGAAAUGGCGCUGCAGCUCUGUUUCUUCCCGUCCAGGCUGCUGCUGCCAGGAGUUCAAGUCCUCUAUAUCCCUGUCCCGGAUUUUCCUUUCCUUUCGUGCUCUCCGACUGAUCUUAAAAUUGAAUGUUUUCCAGAAGAAGCAGCUGAAGCGAUUGGGAAUUCAACCUUCUUCUGCUCCGUUGCUAAGAACACCGUAAACACCAUUACUUCCACGGGUGGCGCAUUAUUCAAUGAUGAGCAGCAGCAACAUUUCUCGGGAUUCCCUGUGGUCGGAUACUUCCACAAGUUUCAAGCUCGAGGAGGCUGCCAGUACACCUACAGCAACUCCACCAAUUUGGCUCUUCCGGAGUCUGAGAGGCUCGUCUGCGGCCAGGACUUCCGAGCAUAUGGCCAAUUCUGGUUCCACGUCUCGGUAUCUAUCUCCAUCAGCGACGUCGGCAGCUUUAUCCGGGACGUGAAGCAGUUGAGAGACUUAUCACCAGAACGUCUUUGUCUGCUUGAUACUACCCUUAGAUUCUUGAAAGCUUCUCAGGCUUACCUUGGACCGAAGAAUGACGCGGCACAGAUUGAGUUCAUUACGUUCCGAGACAGGAGGCCAGGGGAACCACAGACGUACGAGGACGUUGCUGAGGAGAUAGAGCAGCUCUUACUGUUUAAGUAUAACAGGAAGCCACACUUCGGGAAGAACAGGCCACAUGCAUUCCGGGACAUUGGAAGGAAGACAAAUAAUUUGUCUAAGUUUCUUUUGGCAAGGAAUAAGUUGGAUCCACAAGGAUGGUUUUCAAGUGAUUGGCCUGACUCAGUGCUGGGAAUUCGAGGAAGCCCGGUGACCACAAAUGAUGGAUGUGCUUUGGAAGGACUGUGUGUUUGCAGCGAAGCCAGGCACUGUGCUCCAGACAAAGGAUAGUUUUGCAGACCAGGAGUUGUUUAUCGCGAGGCAAGAGUCUGCAGCAAUAGAAGUUAAGAUGCAUCAUUUCUCCUUGUUUGUUGUUCAGUUCUGAGAUGUGCUCAGCAAUUGUUUUAGUGUAAGGAAUAUACUUAAAAUAAAAGUCAUUCCAGACAGUUCCACUUCUUUGUUGAACCUGCUUUCUGCAAUACGUCUGUAACCAUAGAAGUCGUCCAUCUCUGGCAUCCCUUCAAGAGAAAAAUCUCUGGCCUUGAUCAUCCUCCUGUUCUUGAGCUAGGCCGUGAGAGAUGCGUCCUCUCACAUUGAAGAUCUCCCUUGCGGCAACAAUCUCCAGUUUGGGCGACCAUUGUUGUCCAUGACACGAUGCCUCUUGGGCUCAAUCUAGCCUUGUUAACCGCUUUGAGGAACUUUUCAGAUAAAUAUUUAAAUUUAUAUCUAUCAAUAAGCUGCCUAGAUUUUUUCCUUGCUGUAGAUUGAAAGGAAGAGGAGGAGGCUAAGGUAGCAGGCCAGCAUCAAGUGAGGGUAGGUCAAGAAGAAGGUGGAGUUGAACCCACAAUCAACUUAUAUGUGGAUUUAAACAGCUUUAAAUAGAUAUAAAUUAGUUUCAGCUCAAGCCCAUCAAACAAAAACUACGAGCAUGCAUUCUGAAUAUCUGGGGUUUAUACUAAAAGUUUGUGAGUGUGUACAACUUAAGUCUAGGGCACCCAAAAUAUUCCAUUCAGUCAUAUUAGGCAAACAUGAAAAAACACCAUUUGGUACCGAAUGGUGUUUUUUGGGUUAUAAUUGGAAGCAAGCAAUUUGUACACCAUUUACAAGCACAAUUAAGAGAAGAUUGAGUUGUUGUUUUUGUCAUAGAGUCAAAAAAGGCUUAAAGCUAUAUUAAGUGUUUCAAGUGUGUUAUGAUUAUAGAUUUCAAGUUGCGGUGAUCUCCAUAGUUUUGCAGAAGAAAGUUUUUAUAAAUUUCAAUUUUAUGAUAUAAUGACUUAUUUUGGAGAGACUUGAAUGCUCAAACUUGAAUAACUCAUAUGAUGAAAUUGUAUGAUUUAAUAAUAUGUCCUUUAAAAGUAUAAAUAACAAUGAGAAUGUGUGCUAACAUGCUAGAUGUUCUUUUGAAUAAGGGAUUUCCAGAAAGGUUUUAGCAUAGACUCUGUAAACAUCAUAAUCAUGCAAAAUGAGAAACAUUUUGUGUUUAAAUUUUUUAUAAGUGAUUAAUAACUAUAUAUUUUAAGUAUAUGCUCCGAAUAUAUGCUGAGGUGGCUGCUGCCGUAAUUAAAUUGCACAUCAUAACCCAUCUAUAGGACAUGCAUGGGAUAUUCAUUUCACAAAUUGCACACCAUACUAACUACUCUUUGCUAGCCAGUGUAGGCUUUGUCAACCAACCAGCAUUUAUUUCUAAUAUACUAAUUAUCAAAUGAUUUCACUGACGUAAGUCAAGGUGGCAUUUGAUAGAAAAUGAUCCAUAAAUCUUUGAGAGCUUUCACCAACAAGUACUCGAGAUCAUGAAGUUCGUCCUCCUCGCCCUCCUCUUUUCUCUCAACUUGCAUCUUGUAAGAUCUCUAGUAGAAUGCGAUGCGAGUGGCUGCGAGCUCAAGAACUAUCUCAGAGGUCCAUGGCCAGAUCGCAGGCCUUGCAAGAUCACCAAGGCGUUCUUCCCGACCAACGAGGCCGAGCUCCUCGACGCCGUGGCCUACGCAGUCAAGAGCAAGCAGAAGAUCAAAGUGAUAAGCAGGGAGGCACAUACCAUGACCAAAUUCGCGUGUCCAAACUCCGGAUCCGACACAGGGGGAGUUGUCAUCAGCACCGCUAGCUUCAACUCCAACUCGAGCGUCGUCGUCGACAAGAGCUCCAUGACGGCCUCCACACCCCCUGGAAUCAUGCUUGGCGAGCUCAUGGAUCUCCUGGCGAUGCAAGGCGUGACUUUGCACCAGACCAUCGACUGGGACGGCGCGUCGCCAGCGGGCAUGGUGAGCACGGGGGCUCACGGCAGCAGCCUGUGGAGUCGCGGCGGAGGAACUUACGAGUACCUCGUGUCCAUGAGAAUCGUCGUCCCGGCCUCCGAGAAGGAAGGCUUUGCCAAAGUUGUCACGGUCGCGGAGGGAGAUGACCUGUUCGACGCCGCCAGGAUCUCGCUGGGAGUUCUUGGAGCUAUUUCCCAGCUGACGUUCUCCGUACAGCCCAUGACGAAGAGGUCUGUGACGCUGUCGGUGGCGGACGAUGCGUCGCUGGAGGACGACUUCUUGAGGCUGGCUCGGGAGCACGAGUUUGGGGAAGUGUUGUGGUACAGCUCGCAGAAGAAAUACGUGUGGAGGACCGAUGACAGAGCGCCACUCUCGGUGCCAGGAAAUGGGGCUUUGAUUAGAGUUCCGUUUCUUCCCGUGCAGGCUGCUGCUGCUAGGAGUUCAAGACUGAGCCGUCAGUUCUCUUUAUCCACGUCCCUGUUUCCUUCUUUCCAAAUCUUCCUUUCCUGCUGCUUCCGACUGAUCUUAAAUUGUCUGUUCCAGAAGAAGCAGCUGAAACGAUUGGAAAUUCAACCUUCUUUUGCUCCGCGGCUAAGAACACGGUAAACACCAUCACUUCCACGGGUGGCGGAUUCGUCAACGAUGAGCAGCAGCAACGUUUCUCGGGAUUCCCUGUGGUCGGAUACUUCCACAAGUUUCAAGCUCGCGGAGGCUGCCAGUACACCUACAGCAACUCCACC
rnacentral:lncRNA from 1 species